rnacentral:ncRNA from 1 species
GAUAGCGGUGGCCAAGCGUUUAUAGCGACCUCGCUUUUUGAUCCUUCUAUGUCGGCUCUUCCUAUCAUUGUGAAGCAGAAUUCACCAAGCGUUUGAUUGUUCAACCACUAAUAGGGUUAAUAGGGAACGUGAGCUGGGUUUAGACCGUCGUGAGACAGGUU